rnacentral:rRNA from 1 species
AUACGAACGAUGCAAAUAAAUUUUAUUUGUUUGAGUUAAAUUGGUAAAGUGAAAAUUAAAUUAAAUUUGUUAGGUGAAAUUUUAAAUUUAUAUAGAUUUUUAUUUGAUUGAUUGAAGCUUGGAAAUUUUAAAGUUAAACUAGGAUUAGAUACCCUAUUAUUUAAAAUGUAUAUUAUUAAGCUUAGGUAGUAGUAGAUAUGUUCUUGAAACUUAAAAAAUUUGGCGGUAUUUUAGUCUAUUCAGAGGAACCUGUCCUAUAAUCGAUAAUCCACGUUGGACCUUACUUAAGUUUGUUAAUCAGUUUAUAUACCGUCGUUAUAAGAAAAUUUUAUUAGAAUGAUUAUUUUCUGGGUUUUGAAUUAAAAAAUAUAUCAGAUCAAGGUGUAGCUUAUAUUUAAGUAGAGAUGGGUUACAAUAAGUUUAUUUAAACGGAUUUAUGAUUUGAAAGUUUUUGUUGAAGGUGGAUUUGGUAGUAAAUUUAUAUAGAUAAAUAGAUUGACUUUAGCUCUAAAAUAUGCACACAUCGCCCGUCGCUCUUAUUAUUAAGAUAAGAUAAGUCGUAACAUAGUAGAUGUACUGGAAAGUGUAUCUAGAAUG